rnacentral:rRNA from 1 species
AUUGAACGCUGGCGGCAGGCCUAACACAUGCAAGUCGAGCGGGGUUUUCGGACCCAGCGGCGGACGGGUGAGUAAUGCGUAGGAAGCUACCCGAUAGAGGGGGAUACCAGUUGGAAACGACUGUUAAUACCGCAUAAUGUCUACGGACCAAAGUGUGGGACCUUCGGGCCACAUGCUAUCGGAUGCGCCUACGUGGGAUUAGCUAGUUGGUGAGGUAAUGGCUCACCAAGGCGACGAUCCCUAGCUGGUUUGAGAGGAUGAUCAGCCACACUGGAACUGAGACACGGUCCAGACUCCUACGGGAGGCAGCAGUGGGGAAUAUUGGACAAUGGGCGCAAGCCUGAUCCAGCCAUGCCGCGUGUGUGAAGAAGGCCUUCGGGUUGUAAAGCACUUUCAGUAGGGAGGAAGGGUGUUGUGUUAAUAGCACAGCAUUUUGACGUUACCUACAGAAGAAGCACCGGCUAACUCUGUGCCAGCCGCCGCAGUAAUAC